rnacentral:piRNA from 1 species
UUCCGGAUUUGAGCUAACAGAAGAAUCUUG